GUCACCAGCGAGGCGCGGCUCGGCUCACCUGAUGCGCGUGCACCUUCAAACAGUUACGUCAGAUCACAUACUCCAGCAGCUCUUUUAAGAAGUCAUCUCUUGUAAAAGCCAUAACUUGUUCCUAUUUUUCCGAACUGUAAUCCAUAAUUCAUUUACACAUAGUUUUUGCUCUCUCUCUCUCUCUCUCUCUCUUUCUGUGCUUCGUGACAUUUUUAAAUCUCAUAAUCUCAUAUUUUUUUACCUAUUCUUUCAGGAAGCUGCUAGAAUUAACAGGGAACUCAAUGCUGAUCUUGAAGAAGCUGCCAAGGAGGCUGAACAAGUGCUUCAGUGAUUCAGCUCUUCACAGUAAUGUUGAACACAUUCAGCUAGAACUGAUUUGCUUUAAUGAACGCAUCCUUAUUUUAUGUGUUAAUAAUAACUUUCCCUACAGUCCUUCCUCUCAAAUAUUUUGGUCACAGAUUAUAUUUUGCACAUUGUCUCAACAUGUAUAUAUUUCUCUUUGUUUCAGCUGAGAGGAAGACCAAAGGAAGGCCUGUCCUGGGAUUUGAUUUUGGCCGUAUUCUGCGUUACGGAGAAGACCCAGAGCUGCAAAGGCAAAUGGAUUUCUCACAGAUUACUUAGUCCUUCUCCAUCAGCUCUCCACAGUAUCAGCCCUUCCAAAAGCUUCCACAUCUCUCUCAUGUAGCACAUCUGCUCUCAGUCCUUUACUGCCAACUUCCAGUCUUAACAGGUCUACUUGUAUUAAUUUCUCCUCUAGUCAACUACUGUGAGCACUGCGAUCCUGUCACAAUCACUGUAUACAUACUGUAUAUAUAUUUCUUGCUCAAAAUGGUUGACUUUUAUAAUUAUAAAAUUAUAAUUGUUAUUAACUAUAAUUUGUCUUGCACUUAGUCACAAUAGAAGCAAACAAUGAUUACUGGAGACAGGAGGUAUAUUUUUAAAGGUAAUAAUUGUAAAAUAUUGAAGUAUUGUUCUUAAUUUUUUACCUAUUUGUUUGUUAAAGGGAAGAAAAUAAUAUAUUUUCAAUUGGAGCCUUGAAUAUUAUUUGGCAUCUUAUUUGUUUACAAUUUCUGUAAACAAAUUCUCUUUAUUUGUGAAUAUUAGACAAUUUUUUAAAAAGGGGUUUUCUGUUUCAUAUUUCUUAGUUACCUCUAUGCAAAUACAUGUUUAUAAUCAACUGCAUUUUUUGUUUUCAUUUUUUUUCCAUAGUGCCACAAACAGGAGAGAGAAUGCUGUUCUGGGCACUAUGUUUAUCUUGGAAAAGUUUGACAUAUCAAUAAACAUUGGA